GACGUAGGGGGCCAGCGUUGUUCGGAAUUACUGGGUGUAAAGGGUUCGUAGGCGGUGCGGCAAGUUGGGAGUGAAAUCUCUGGGCUUAACCCAGAGGCUGCUUCCAAAACUGCUGUGCUUGAGUGUGGGAGAGGCGGCGGUGGGAAUUGCAGGUGUAGCGGUGAAAUGCGUAGAUAUCUGCAGGAACACCCGUGGCGAAAGCGGCGCGCUGGGACCACUACUGCGCUGAGGAACGAAAGCUAGGGGAGCAAACAGG
rnacentral:rRNA from 1 species